ACGGAGGUGGCAAGCGUUGUCCGGAAUUACUGGGCGUAAAGCGCGCGUAGGCGGGACCUUAAGUCUGUUCUGAAAGUUCGGGGCUUAACUCGGGGAUGGGAUGGAAACUGGGAUUCUUGAGUAUCGGAGAGGAAAGCGGAAUUCCCCGUGUAGCGGUGAAAUGCGUAGAUAUGGGGAGGAACACCAGUGGCGAAGGCGGCUUUCUGGACGAUGUCUGACACUGAGGCGCGAAAGCUAGGGGAGCGAACGG
rnacentral:rRNA from 1 species